GGGCACAUGGUGUAGUUGGUUUAUCACGCCCGCUUAGCAUGAUAUCGCUCGGGACGGUUGUUUGCGGGAGGUGUUGGGUUCAAUUCCCAAUGUGUCCA